GUUGCGGCAGCUACCAUGCAGUCGACGGGCCAGUGCGGAGCACUGAGGCUCCAAGCACUAGAUUGGAAUGUCUAGGUUCUAAGCAAAUCCAAAUGGCUGAAACUCGAAUUGUUGUUGGAUUUUGGAGUUGUUUAGGAUUGGGGAUUUAGGGUUUAGGGUUUGAGUGCUUCGCACUGGUUAGUGGCGGACGGGUGAGUAACACGUAGGCAACCUACCCUUAAGCGGGGGACAACCCCGGGAAACCGGGACUAAUACCCCAUAAGACCACGGACUGGGAUGUUUGUGGUAAAAGGAGCGAUUCGCUUAGGGAUGGGCCUGCGGCCUAUCAGGUAGUUGGUGGGGUAACGGCCCACCAAGCCAAAGACGGGUAGCCGGGCUGAGAGGUUGGACGGCCACACUGGAACUGAGAUACGGUCCAGACUCCUACGGGAGGCAGCAGUGGGGAAUUUUGCACAAUGGGGGAAACCCUGAUGCAGCAACGCCGCGUGGAGGAUGAAGGCCUUCGGGUUGUAAACUCCUUUUGUAGGGGACGAUGAUGACGGUACCCUAUGAAUAAGCCACGGCUAACUCUGUGCCAGCAGCCGCGGUAAGACAGAGGUGGCGAGCGUUGUUCGGAAUCACUGGGCUUAAAGGGCGCGUAGGUGGCAGUGCAAGUCUGGGGUGGAAUCCCAGGGCUUAACCCUGGAACUGCCUUGGAAACUGCAUUGCUUGAGUCAGUGAGGGGAGGGUAGAAUUCCUGGUGUAGCGGUGAAAUGCGUAGAUAUCAUGAGGAAGGCCUGUGGCGAAGGCGGCCCUCUGGCGCUGGACUGACACUGAGGCGCGAAAGCGUGGGUAGCAAACAGGAUUAGAUACCCUGGUAGUCCACGCCCUAAACGGUGGGUACUAGGUGUAGGGCUCGUAAGGGUUUCUGUGCCGAAAGGGAAACCAUUAAGUACCCCGCCUGGGGAGUACGGCCGCAGGUUGAAACUCAAAAGGAAUUGACGG
rnacentral:rRNA from 1 species